UCCUAACUUUAUCAACUACCUACCUAUCUUCACAAAUGCUUCCUUAUUACGUUCCGUUCCAAUACAAAACCUAGUCUCUUGCGCUUCCUAUUAAAUUUCUUUCGUUUAUAAGUUCGAUCACUCCACGGCAACAAAUUGUGAUUAUAUCAAGGAUAUAAUCACUUUCCUACCCCUAGUAUGUAACAAAUCAUUACGAACAAAACGCAAGCGACUUAUUAUAACGUAAACAUAUUGAGAGUACUAGUAAGGUGAUAAAUUAUAACUUGCAGUGAUUUUAUCAUGAACGUAAUUUAAUGCUGCACUGCAUAAUAUUAUACUAGUCUGUGACGCAAUAAAAGUUACUCUGUUAAAAAAAUAACCUUUUGUCUUUUAUUGUUUGUGGUGCAAUGCUGUAUAAAGUUUUUCCAACAAAAAAAAACAAACUUUUGGAACUUUCUUCUAGCCAUAACAUAACAUUAAUUAAAAGAAAUGCCUUUAUGUGAAAACCGCCAUAUGAGUAAAUAUUUACUUACUAAUCGCAAAGGCAAACAACAAAACUUAAUGUUUUUUCGAGACAAACAUAAAAGAACAGAAAACUAGCUGCCUGACAUCUAACAUGAAGAGAUGAAGCAAAAUCUAAUAUCCUGGUCUUUUGGUACCAAAUUGUAACGUUUCGCCCUACCUCCUGCCUACUUAACUCCUAGCUAAUGGAUUUACUAAGAAGAUAUUUGAAACUACAACAAAACUUACUUGAGUGAAAUAAAAGUGAAACAAAUACUGCUUUGAAUUGGCCAUGAAACAUCCAGGGAAACCCUACGUUGUGUUGUAACCCAAUAAACGAAAGAUAGUGAAUUAAAUAAAACUAUGACCUAGAACUGAUUACAUACUUC